AGCAGCCGCGGUAAUUCCAGCUCCAAUAGCGUAUAUUAAAGUUGUUGCAGUUAAAAAGCUCGUAGUUGAACUUCGGGGUUUACCCAUUGGUCAGGCUUAAUUGUCUGCACUGGUGAGAUGAAUCUCUACCUUCUGAGGAACUUUCAUGCCAUUUGUUUGGUGUGAUGGGAAAUCAGGACUGUUACUUUGAAAAAAUUAGAGUGUUUAAAGCAGGCUAACGUCUGAAUACAUUAGCAUGGAAUAAUGAAAUAGGACGGACUGAUUCUAUUUCGUUGGUUUCUAGGAUCACCGUAAUGAUUAAUAGGGAUAGUUGGGGCAUUAGUAUUCAAUUGUCAGAGGUGAAAUUCUUGGAUUUAUUGAAGACUAACUACUGCGAAAGCAUUUGCCAAGGAUGUUUUCAUUAAUCAAGAACGAAAGUUAGGGGAUCGAAGACGAUCAGAUACCGUCGUAGUCUUAACCAUAAACUAUGCCGACUAGGGAUCGGACGAAGUUAAUUUUAUAAUGACGCGUUCGGCACCUUACG
rnacentral:rRNA from 1 species